rnacentral:lncRNA from 1 species
GUACAACAUGAGGACAUACAAUCUGUCAUCAAAGAUGGGCCCAGGGGUGCUGGGGAAGAACUGCGGAGGAAGUGGCUUCUUCCUUGAUUCACUCCUCACCAGGGAGACUUUUCUGACUUAUUUCUUCCUGUGGAGUCUCCCCCCAGUGAUGCCAUCACCAUUGGAGGAAAGGCAUCAGAGGUCUCAAGGAGGUCCUCCAAGGGUGAGUCACUUUGGCUGUCUGGGCCUCGGGUUCUUUUGGAAGGAGACUGAGCCCCAGAGGAAUUUUCAAGGGGAAACAGCAAGACAACAGCUAACUGGCCAAAAACAAAGUGUUUUCAGGGCAGCAACGGGCAGGACACCCAGAGGACCCCAUUUAUCCUACGGACAGGCUGGUAAUUUCAUUUACACAGAGGAAUUUGUUCCCAAGUCCCCUGUAAUCAAAACUAAAUCCAACUGGGGAUUAAUGGAGGCAAAGAAGACAGGAGAAUAAGGGUUAGGAUUAUGAACUGAAAUAGGAAAUGGCAAAACACUCCAAUAUCUUUGCCAAGAAAACCCCAAAUGGAGUCACAAAGAGUUGAACCCAACUGAAAAUGUUUCAACACCACCAAGGAACCACAAAGAUGAAUUGGGUCUGGAUAGAGUGCUGGGUUUCUCCUCCUUGGGCUACACAAUAAGAGGUGAGUCAAGUUGUUACCAAACACUGAAGUCAUACUCUGUUCCCUUUGCUCUGCACCCCCAGGGCCAUGAUUAUUGGAACAGGUGGGAGCGGUUUCCUCCUCCAUGGGACUGGCUUGGACUCUAGGGAAUCCUAACAUCCUUUUUAGGUCUGAAACUCUGCUCCCACUGGUGAUACUCAGGAGGCUGACCCUACCAAACUCCUUUCUCUGGCCCCAUUGAAAAGUGUGUCCAGCUCCUUUAAAGAUGAAAGAUUGUUUUAAUUCAUGUUUGGCUUUCCUUGACUAAACUCAGAAGUUGCAUAAGGGCAGGGUGACCGUGAAACAGCCCUGGGGGUUUCAUGUACUUCAAGCUCUUUGAAUCAAAAGCUGGUUUGGCAGCCAAAAAAACCCCCAAAACCUUAAUGUGAUCUCAAGAUGCAUCAGGAGAAGCAGAGUGUCCAGAAUGAGGGAAAUUAUGAUAGCCCCACAGUCCCAGGCCCAG